rnacentral:misc_RNA from 1 species
GAUGAAGAACGUAGUGAAAUGCGAUAAGUAAUGCGAAUUGCAGAAUCCGUGAGUCGUCGAAUCUUUGAACGCACAUUGCGCCCUUUGGUAUUCCGAAGGGCAUGCCUGUUCGAGCGUCAUUAUCACCCCUCAAGCCCCGGCUUGGUGUUGGGCUCUCGGUGGUCGUCUCCGACCACCCGUCUCAAAGAUAGUGACGGCGUCCCAGAGGGAACCGGUACGAGGAGCUUUCACGAGCAUGUACGCGGGACGACUCUGCGGGCGACGGUCUUAUUUACUUUAUAUACAAGUGUUGACCUCGGAUCAGGUAGGAAUACCCGCUGAACUUAAGCAUAUCAAUAAGCGGAGGA